ACCUCUUCUCUCUCUCUCUCCUGCAGAAGUCGAGCCGGCUCUACCAGGUCUCCGUGGGCCAGUGUCUCUCCGUUGCUCAGCCGGUCGGGCCCAAGGGUUACGUCUCCAUGGCGAUAUGCGACGCCUCCGAGGCACAGCAGUGGCAGCUGGAGGGCUGAGCGGGACGGGGCCCCGCCCCCUCAGUGACGGACAGUUUGUUUUAGAGACAAUCAGGUUUUUGUGUUUUUACUGUUUUAGUUUCUCUCAGGACGACUUUUAUUAACCAGCUGAUUUUAUUUAGGUUCAUGUCUUUAAAACUGCUCCAGGUUCAGUUCCAGGUUCAGUUCCAGGUUCAGCUCCAGGUUCAGCUCCAGGUUCAGUUCCAGGUUCAGUUCCAGGUUCAGUUCCAGGUUCAGCUCCAGGUUCAGCUCCAGGUUCAGUUCCAGGUUCAGUUCCAGGUUCAGCUCCAGGACAGACUGAACAAACUGCAUGGAAACAUCCUGGAAUACUUUGGAUUACAGAGAAAUAACCAGCAGGAGGAGUUUUCUUUUACUUUUUCUUUUUUAGGCUUCCAGGCCAGACCUUGAAAGUCCUGGAGGAACACUAUGAACUUGGUGACGUGUGACCCGUCAGGACAGACUCGAUAUUUCCAGUUUCUCUCCAGGCGACCUGGAACGUGUUGCUAUUUAUUUAAACGGCCUGAUGUAGUCUCCAGGAGCCGUCAGGUGACGUCUGUCGUCAUGUCGAUGUGUAACUCACCUGCGUGACGUCACGGUCAGGUGACGUCACGGUCAGGUGACAGCAGCCAGGAGGUUGCGUCAUUGUGUCUUUGUGUCAUUUCAUCUUCAAUAAAUCUUUUAAACCCACA